AGAGUGUUAAGGUGUAAGGGGUGUUGAAUUUGAAAGAUCCAAAGCCCUGGCGGGUGGAGAAUAACAACCACCCGCCAACUAGGCAGAAGCAAAGAUGAAGAAUCUAGGAAUGAGAAAAUAUAUAUAAUACUGAAAGGUUACAAUAUAUUUCUAUAAUUCUAUGUUUCUAAUGAAGAAACAUAGUACACA